AAUAGAGAAAGAAAUGGCCACUUGAGUCAAAGGAAAAUAAAAUGAUAAUGUAUGAUGGUAAUGCCCACUUAAAAAUGUUGACAGCAAAAUAAGGUUAUUCAAGAACCAGCAACUAUUACACUUGCAGUUCACAAGUCCCACAUCAAAAGUUUACAUAAGGGUAUUGAGCAACUUAUCUUAUAAAAUAACAACGUCUCCUUUCCUUACUUACUACGGGAAUCUGUCCAUGGUGUUAUCAAUUAGUUAAUUUCUUAAUUGAUUUUUAGGCCAAUUGAAAGGUUUAUGAGUUAUUUUUUCUCAUUUAAACCAUAGUUUAUUCUUUUUUCUCUUUCUUGAUUCAUUUGAUUCAAGCUAUUGAGCCGAACCGAGUUGUUCGUGAACCUAACGAACCGAACUGUACGUGUACUUUAAACGAGUCGAACUCGAGCUAAAAAAAUAGUUCGUGUCGAACUCGAGUCGAGCCGAGCAAAUUCUUAUCGAGUCGAGUCGAGCUCAGAUAGAUUCGAUUCGACUCGACUCAUUUCCAGCCCUAGUUAAAACACAUUCACAUUGCAUGUCCAUCCGACAAUGUUUCCAUGCCAAGAAAUACAAUUGAUUUUUUUUUAAUUUUGAAGUUACAUAUAAAUGGAAUAAUUAUUUUUUCAAUGAUGCUUUUGUUGAUACUCUGGGCCAAACCGAGUGAGAAACAUCAUCGUCUUUUGACCAUUUCCGUGUUGUCAUAAUGUUUUGUAGUGUCAUGAAUAACCUUAAUCAUUUUCUAAUUCUCUUGCUAUCUUACUCACCAAAUCAUUAGUUUAAUUUAGUCCUUUUUUUCUUCCAAGAAUGACACAUGGUAAUAUGGUAUAAUAAUGCAACUUGAUUUAGAAUAAUUCCAUUCACAUACGGCCUAAGCCGGCUACCAAGAAACAUCAUCGUCUUUUGACCAUUCUUUGUAGGCUUAAAUAUUGCACCCGUCUCUGCAAAUAUGGCCCGUUUAAGUUUUGGUUAUUGUAAAAUAAAAAUUCAGAAAUUCCCCGCAAAAAAAUCUGUCUUUUAAAAAUAGCCCUGGGCUCAUUUAAGUCAUGACAAGUCACCAAAAUGCCUACGUGGCGCACGCUAAUUGAACCCAUUUUGUAGUUUUUGGUCCCUGCAAAAUAUUUUGUUUUUUAAAAAGGUCUCUGCAAAAUUUUUUUAAAAAUUUUGCGUAGACUGAUUUCUGAAUUUUUAUUUUUCAAGGACCAAAACUUAAACGAGCCAUAUUUACAGGGACGAGUGCAAUAUUUAAGCCUUCUUUUUUUGUUUCCAUGUUACUAUUAUAUUAAAACUCCUUUUUCAAUAUCUUUUAUUUUUAAUAUUGUAUGAUCGAGUCUUUUGGUAGUUGAUAUUAUCUUAAAAUCAAUUUUGUUUGGAAGAAAUAUGUAAAUAAAUGACAAGUAGUUAGCCAUCCAUCAUGAGGUGAGUUGGCAUGCCCGUCUAUUUCUUUGUUUGGUUUACGAACUCUCAUCUCAUAUUCAUAACAUGCAGUGAACCUUAAUUGUAUGCAUAGAGAGGAUAAUUGUCAAUUGAAUAAUCCAACUUCUUAAAACCUUUGGUAAGUGGCAAGUGAAAAAAAUGAUGAUCAUAGAACCAAUGAGUUUCUUUAGGUAUAUUUGGAUUUUGAUCAACGUAAUUGAUUUAAAUGAAAUAGAAUAUUUUAUAUUGUGAACAAUAAAAUACCACAUCUUUUUUUAAUGAAGAGAACAUUACAUAGCAUUAGUUUUCGCUUGUCUUUUAAUUAUAUAAAAAAAAAAAAAAAAACAGUUUUCUUCUAAUUUUAUAGAUAUUUUUUCCACAUUCUAUUGUAUCUCAUUAUGAUUUCUUUUCACUUGGCAUAUCAUUAGGUGGACCAUGACUAUUCAAUUUAGGAUGGGGUCAAUGUGUAUCUAAACGUAUCUUCGUACAGGGCAUUUGAGCUGUAUGCUUCAACGUCUCGUCUUUACAACUAGCCUCUAAAUUGACAUCAAAAUAAUGUUUUAAAAAUGGAAGCUAUUAGAUAAUGAAUUGGUUUUACUUUGAACCUUUCUUGUUUUUUGGUUUGAUUCAAUUUCAGUUGAUUCAUACAUUUAGUUGGUCGAACCAAUAAAAUUAAAACUAAAGAUGAUGUCGUUUGAUUACUUUUAAAAAAUUAGUCUAAAUUCAGGGAAUGAUAUUAAACUUGUAGUUGUUUUUAGAAGCACUUGUCAGUAUAGUAUCAAAACUCAUAGUAAAAAAUUCAACUUUUGUUUUGCCACAAACCGAAGAAAGGUGUUGCUCCCAGAUAAAGUUACAAUAAUGAUAUUUAAAACUUCAAGGAAUGUAGGAAGAGUAAAACAUAACUAAAAUAAAUAAAUAAAUACAAAUAUGAAGAAAUAGAAAGUGAUACAAUGUAUAGCGCACACACAAAAAGCACACCCCUAAAAGUAAGUAUCCUGUGAAAGAAUUACCUCAAAAAAGUCAAAACUAAGACUCUUAAGAAGAAGCUGGAGUACCCAAAAUAUACAAAGGGGUCUAAAAGUAAAAGACACAAAAUAACAGAAAAAAUCCAAUGUAAUCUUUCUACACAUCAUUCCUAUACUUACUAUGGCUUAAAGGGUAGAAGAACCAUGGCCAUUUGCUCCAUUAACACCAUCUGAAGUCUUGUUCUCUGCUUUCUUCCUCUUCAUGCAUACCAUCCACGUGUAAGCUUCCAAAAGGACAGCAAUGCCCCCCAAAGCACCAAUAAUACCAAUGUAAGCAUGCUUCCAGUUCUUGUAACGAUCCCCUACAAAAUCUCCCAAUGCUUCAAACCCUUUGAAAACGUUUACAAUGCUAAUGCUUAUGGUAACAUACCCUACAACGUGGUGGUAGAUAUUCCAGUAAAAUCUCAACUUAUGGUCUUUGUUUGGCCUCAAAAAUAGAGCAAACACUUG
rnacentral:lncRNA from 1 species